AGAGUUUGAUCCUGGCUCAGGAUGAACGCUAGCUACAGGCUUAACACAUGCAAGUCGAGGGGAAACGACAUCGAAAGCUUGCUUUUGAUGGGCGUCGACCGGCGCACGGGUGAGUAACGCGUAUCCAACCUGCCCAUCACUUGGGGAUAACCUUGCGAAAGUAAGACUAAUACCCAAUGACGUCUCUAGAAGACAUCUGAAAGAGAUUAAAGAUUUAUCGGUGAUGGAUGGGGAUGCGUCUGAUUAGCUUGUUGGGCGGGGUAACGGCCCACCAAGGCGACGAUCAGGUAGGGGUUCUGAGAGGAAGGUCCCCCANAUUGGAACUGAGACACGGUCAAACUCCUACGGGAGCA
rnacentral:rRNA from 1 species